ensembl:lncRNA
GGAUAGUAAAGAUGGCUGACUGAACACAUCAGUGGAGAUCAACUCAAGAUAAAAACAUAAUAUUCAAUAUCAGUAAAUUAAACUAAAUAUUAGCACUUCACAAACUGAUGGGUUAAAACCAAAACAAAUCAUAAGGCUGGAGAAAUUAGCGACAAAUAUUACGAAAACAAGCUACACCCAAACACGACGGUGAGUUAAACAGGGGAACCAAUCCUGAAAAGAAAACGCGCCUCUUCGACAGACAAAGACAAUUUAAUAUUUUCAUCACCGGGAAUGAUAGGAGUGCGGUUUGCGCGCAGGGAUCCUCCCUUGCCUUUCGUGGUGACCCAGGUUCUGCCCUGGCAGGUGCACCAUGUGUCCCAAAAGAGGAGGAGCAGCGCAACAGCAGAGUACGAUGGCCCGAGGAGGAACAGCCUAGGAGUGUUCAGAAAGAUAAAUUCGGACCUCUUCCCCAAUACAACGUUGGCUGUUGCUGUUGCCACUUUGGCUGUGCCCUGUCUCCUGACGUGCAACCGGAAAGACUCCGCCUGCAGCAACGGGUGUGCAGCGGCGCCCCUCGGCCUCACCCUGCCCGUGGAGAAAGCUGCAGCCACCAUCCAGAACCAGUUCAGGAAGUACCAGCAGAAGAAGAAGGAGACCAAGUAGAAGCACACCCGCACCACCCGAGCUCUGCAAGACAGACAGACGGACACAAACACACUGGCGGGGGACACAG